GUAGGCACUUCUUGCCUUUCAUGGGCACUUUUCUCCUUAAAAAUACCCAAAAUCGUAUUUUAGGACUGUGUUGGUAUAACGACAGAUGGUAACUACUAAUAGAUUUUCCUCAACCUAAAAUUUCACUUGUUUUCUGAUUCUCCAAGAAGUUAAAACAGUUUCGUGUGUCCCUAGCCCAAGCUAUAACGUGUAAUGGAGAAGCCUUUCUGCUCAGCGUUCAUUGUAAUAUUCCGUUUCUUACACCAUGGUGAGUUUUAGCAUUUUAUACAACCAUCCUUUCAUGGCUAGUUUAAUAACGUAUCUCAUGCAUCGUGCAAGGAUACAAAUGAAAAUGAUUAUCUCAGGCACAUAGAAAUUCAAGUGAUUUUUACUAUCUUGUUUCUCUUUCAAAAGUUUUUUUUUUUUUCAAUAGCCAGCUGGAUCCCUAUUUUUCAGAAGUACUAUUUUUUAAAGGAUAUACACACACAACUUAUAGCACAAUAUAUAAUUCGUGACUUUCCUAUUUAACCCCUGGAUUUUACUUUGGCCAACACCGUCCAAGAGACAGAGGAAAACCGAGAAAUGAGAAUUAACGGUCACCGCCUUGGGCCUGGACGGUUAAAAUUUCCAUAACGGGCACAGGGCUUUCCGAUAAGCCACGCCCCCUUCUGGAAUGUUCACCAGCACCCUUCCCCCGCUUCAUCCACUGCCCCUUCUCAUUCUGCGGGUCGAGUUCUCCGGGGUAAGGUCGUCGGUGGCCCUCUUCUCCAGCUGUGCCCGCCUCGGCCUCUCUGCUUUGCUUCUCCGAACUGGGCCCGCCUCGGCCUCUGCUUUCCUUUAGAGCCUUGAUCAUAACUAAUAAUUAUUACUUUUUUUCCUGUCAUCUUCUCAGCUACUGGUGGCGCCUCGUCGUUGUUGUCGUCAGUCAGUAGUAGCGUCAAGAAAGAAAAGGGUAGGCUUUCCAGGGGUUGUACUGUUUUCCUCUGUAUUUCUUCUCUUUGCAGUCUUUUUUUUUUUUUUUACUAAGUAUAUAUCUGUUUCCCACGAAUUACGUGUUGUUUACGCACUAUUCUGUUUUAGGCCUUAAAUCUAAAAAGAAAAAAAAUUGCUUCGCAACUCAUAACAGGUUCUGCUGAAACUCGUGAGGCGUCGAAGAGAGAAGAAACAGACCCAAACGGAAAAGGCAGGACGGUAGGCGUACAGGGGCCCCAGGGUGGGCCCGUCAGGCGCGGCUGCUGCCGGCACAAAUCCUGGGCCAGGCCUGGGUCAACGUUAGGCCACGAGCUUGCCUCGGGGGCCUUGGGGGCCUCUGCCCCUCCCGCCCCUGCCCCCGCCCCCGCUCCCUGCCCCUCCUGCCCCU
rnacentral:lncRNA from 1 species